rfam:Aspergillus flavus AF70 515, whole genome shotgun sequence.
ACAUACGACCAUAGGGUGUGGAGAACAGGGCUUCCCGUCCGCUCAGCCGUACUUAAGCCACACGCCGGGAGGUUAGUAGUUGGGUGGGUGA